UACAGAGGUCCCAAGCGUUGUUCGGAUUCACUGGGCGUAAAGGGUGCGUAGGCGGUCGGGUAAGUCUGAUGUGAAAUCUCACAGCUUAACUGUGAAACUGCAUUGGAUACUAUUCGGCUAGAGAGUUGGAGGGGGGACUGGAAUUCUCGGUGUAGCAGUGAAAUGCGUAGAUAUCGAGUGGAACACCAGUGGCGAAGGCGAGUCUCUGGACAUUUCCUGACGCUGAGGCACGAAAGCCAGGGGAGCAAACGGG
rnacentral:rRNA from 1 species